rnacentral:rRNA from 1 species
GAUGAACGCUGGCGGCGUGCCUAACACAUGCAAGUCGAACGAUUACCUGGAUUCGUCUGGGUGAUAGUGGCGAACGGGUGAGUAACACGUAGGUGACCAACCCCAAAGUGGGGAAUAACUGCUGGAAACGGUAGCUAAUACCCCAUGUGCUCGGCGGUUCAAUCUACCGAAUAAAGCUUCGGCGCUUUGGGACGGGCCUGCGGCCCAUCAGGUAGUUGGUAGGGUAAUGGCCUACCAAGCCUAUGACGGGUAGGGGCGUGAGAGCGUGAUCCCCCACACUGGCACUGAGACACGGGCCAGACUCCUACGGGAGGCUG